GGUAGUACCUGGCGUCUACGGGAAGUGAAACGGACUGGCGGGCCGUGGCUUAACACAACUGGUCAAAGUCGAACGGAGAACCGAUUGGAGUCGAGGGAUUCGUCCAAGUGAAGGUGGGGAAAGGUGGCGGACGGGUGAGUAACGCGUGAGCAAUCUGCCUUGGAGUGGGGAAUAACGGCUGGAACAGCCGCUAAUACGCAUGAUACAGCUGGGAGGCAUCUCCCUGGCUGUCAAAGAUUUAUCGCUCUGAGAGUGAGCUCGCGUCUGAUUAGCUAGUUGGCGGGGUAACGGCCCACCAAGGCGACGAUCAGUAGCCGGACUGAGAGGUUGGCCGGCCACAUUGGGACUGAGACACGGCCCAGACUCCUACGGGAGGCAGCAGUGGGGAAUAUUGGGCAAUGGGCGCAAGCCUGACCCAGCAACGCCGCGUGAAGGAAGAAGGCUUUCGGGUUGUAAACUUCCUUUGUCAGGGACGAAGCAAGUGACGGUACCUGACGAAUAAGCCACGGCUAACUACGUG
rnacentral:rRNA from 1 species